rnacentral:snoRNA from 1 species
GAGCAAUGAUGUUUGCAUUGCACUAAAUUGUGAACGAUGGGUUGUCACACUCUCAUCUGAUUAUAGAUGACAAAGAUAGUGCAUCUGAGCUC